rnacentral:rRNA from 1 species
UACGUAGGGUGCAAGCGUUGUCCGGAAUUAUUGGGCGUAAAGAGCUCGUAGGCGGUCUGUCGCGUCUGCUGUGAAAACUCGGGGCUUAACCCCGGGCCUGCAGUGGGUACGGGCAGACUAGAGUGCGGUAGGGGAGACUGGAAUUCCUGGUGUAGCGGUGAAAUGCGCAGAUAUCAGGAGGAACACCGGUGGCGAAGGCGGGUCUCUGGGCCGUAACUGACGCUGAGGAGCGAAAGCUAGGGGAGCAAACGGG